UACGUAGGGUGCGAGCGUUGUCCGGAAUUAUUGGGCGUAAAGAGCUCGUAGGCGGUGUGUCACGUCGGCCGUGAAAAACCUGCAGCUUAACUGUGGGCGUGCGGUCGAUACGGGCAUCACUGGAGUUCGGCAGGGGAGACUGGAAUUCCUGGUGUAGCGGUGAAAUGCGCAGAUAUCAGGAGGAACACCGGUGGCGAAGGCGGGUCUCUGGGCCGAUACUGACGCUGAGGAGCGAAAGCGUGGGGAGCAAACAAG
rnacentral:rRNA from 1 species